rnacentral:lncRNA from 1 species
UCAUUUUUGCCAUCCAAGAGUGUGAAUUCACAAGUUGGAAGGGGGUUGGCGAGUAACAAAGGCAUGCAGCGUCCAGCCAAAGAAAACAAAGAAACUAUUAUUCUAGAAGACUUCCAUAGAGAGCUACUAAUCACUAUUAGCAAAAGUUACCACACGACCCAAGAGGUCGAAUAACGACUCAAGUUCAUCGAAGACUCACUAAAAGCAAAGGAGUUACACCUUCCAGGGGCUCAAAAUAACGGUCAUGGUGCGGACGGAGACGCACUUGAAGCUAUGUUGCCAUUGGGGACUCUUCUAGAAUUUGAUGAAUUCGAUAAUAAAUUGCGAGAAAAGGAAUUUGCAUCACGAGUGGUAAGAGAAUCUGUU